CGACCAUAAUUUGACACACUAGUUCCCGUACGAUCACCGAAGUUAAGCAAUGUCGAGCCUGAUUAGUACCUAGAUGAGUGACCGCUUGGGAAUAGCAGGUGCUGUAAG